CAGUAGCCGCGGUAAUACGGAGGGUGCAAGCGUUAAUCGGAAUUACUGGGCGUAAAGCGUGCGUAGGCGGUUCGUUAAGUCUGUUGUGAAAGCCCCGGGCUCAACCUGGGAAUGGCAAUGGAUACUGGCGAGCUAGAGUGUGUCAGAGGAUGGUGGAAUUCCCGGUGUAGCGGUGAAAUGCGUAGAGAUCGGGAGGAACAUCAGUGGCGAAGGCGGCCAUCUUGGACAACACUGACGCUGAGGCACGAAAGCGUGGGGAGCAGACAGGAUUAGAUACCCCCGUAGUCCCUGUCUCUUAUAC
rnacentral:rRNA from 1 species